rnacentral:rRNA from 1 species
AUACGGAGGUUGCAAGCGUUAUUCGGAAUCACUGGGCGUAAAGGACGCGUAGGCGGUUUGUUAAGUCAGAUGUGAAAGUCCACAGCUCAACUGUGGAAGUGCAUUUGAAACUGGCAGACUUGAGUACUGGAGGGGGUGGUGGAAUUCCCGGUGUAGAGGUGAAAUUCGUAGAUAUCGGGAGGAAUACCGGUGGCGAAGGCGACCACCUGGCCAGAUACUGACGCUGAGGUGCGAAAGCGUGGGGAGCAAACAGGAUUAGAUACCCUAGUAGUCC